rnacentral:rRNA from 1 species
UACGUAGGGGGCUAGCGUUGUCCGGAAUCAUUGGGCGUAAAGCGCGUGUAGGCGGUCCGGUAAGUCCGCUGUGAAAGUCAGGGGCUCAACCCUUGAAUGCCGGCGGAUACUGUCGGGCUAGAGUCCGGAAGAGGCAAGUGGAAUUCCCGGUGUAGCGGUGAAAUGCGCAGAUAUCGGGAGGAACACCGAUGGCGAAGGCAGCUUGCUGGGACGGUACUGACGCUGAGACGCGAAAGCGUGGGGAGCAAACAGG